GAUGAACGCUUGCUGCGUGCCUAAUACAUGCAAGUCGAGCGAACAGACGAGGAGCUUGCUCCUCUGACGUUAGCGGCGGACGGGUGAGUAACACGUGGAUAACCUACCUAUAAGACUGGGAUAACUUCGGGAAACCGGAGCUAAUACCGGAUAAUAUAUUGAACCGCAUGGUUCAAUAGUGAAAGACGGUUUUGCUGUCACUUAUAGAUGGAUCCGCGCCGCAUUGGCUAGUUGGUAAGGUAACGGCUUACCAAGGCAACGAUGCGUAGCCGACCUGAGAGGGUGAUCGGCCACACUGGAACUGAGACACGGUCCAGACUCCUACGGGAGGCAGCAGUAGGGAAUCUUCCGCAAUGGGCGAAAGCCUGACGGAGCAACGCCGCGUGAGUGAUGAAGGUCUUCGGAUCGUAAAACUCUGUUAUUAGGGAAGAACAAAUGUGUAAGUAACUAUGCACGUCUUGACGGUACCUAAUCAGAAAGCCACGGCUAACUACGUG
rnacentral:rRNA from 1 species